AAGAGAAAACUAUUGGAGAAAGUUAGACUGUUAGAACCCUAACACUGUGGUUCAGAAGAAAAGAGAAAAGAGUUGGUGGCCUCAAGUAAGAAAUUUAGGGGCCUACGUUGUCUUCCGGUGUCCGAGGUGUGUAACUGAAGAAGCUUAAAUCCCCUGGAGACCUGGAGGCCCUCCUGGAGAAAAACAUUCUUAACAUGAGUUAUAUCGCCUGAACCUGUUGUUUGGUAGAGUUCCCGUGUAGGGACUUAUCCCCAUGGGAGCUACAUCACCACCAGUUGGUCCACCGGGGCAGUCGUCAAUAUCAGACUUUUCGGCGCCAAUCAACUUUUUUUUUUUUUUUCCUUCUCGCCAAGCAUUGUAAAGCGAAUAUAUACAUGAUCAUCUCACAGUCAUUAGCUCAGUCCUCCAGAACUUCGUCGGAAGCUUCACCGUCUGCGAGCGCGUGUAACAAACAAAGAUGGCUGCAAAGAUGACUACCGGUAAGCCUCAAAUUCUUCCCAAACUUUUUCUCUGUAGUUUCUAAAUAGUUUUAGAAAAACUAUUAAUGAAUGAACUAUUAAUGAUUAACUACUAUUUACGAAUAACUGUGUUUUAGAAGUUACAGUAGAGGUUCACCAUAUGCCAAUUUAUCCUGGUAAGCAAUCCGUGAUCUUUUUAACCUGAAAGUGUUCUUUAAAUCAAAUCUUUAAGUGUAACUUUCUGUAUCUUUAAAGUCAGCGCCGAUGAGUUUGAAGGAAUAACCCUCACGCAAACAGACAUUGAUCUGUUAGCCAGGGCUGAAAGAUUGGUAUCCGAAGACAACCAAGAAACUGAAAAAGCAGUAAAAGCAUUGCUGUGUUCUGAAACCCCACCCCCCGUGCAGGGGACAAAUUGCUGUGUAACUGAAAUUGGUGAAAUAGGGGGGUCAGAGCAGACCCUCGGCACUUCAACAUGGGACUGACUCAAGUAAGCAGACGAACAAACUCUCCAGAGACGUGUGAGACAGCCAGGAGGACCGAAGUCGACUGUACAAGGUAAUAUAUUUAUCUGUGAUUAGAAGUAUAUACAAAAUAUGUGCCGUUUUGAUGAUUUGUAUUUUAACGAUUUUCCCCUCUGUCUAAACAGAACCAUCAAAACAGAACCUUCAAACGUGCGCCUCUCUGAGCACUGUGACUCCCACGGCAGCUCCACUCUCCCGUGAACCUUCUGCCCCUGCGAGGAGACGUAGAAUACGGCAAGCGUGUACCACUCUGACCCCUGUACUUACAGCGGGACCCACGGCAGCUCCACUCUCGCUUUCACCAGAUCCUUUCGAACCUGCGAGGCCGAUAAGGAGACGUAGGAACCAGAGACACAAGUCUAACAUUGUCAGG
rnacentral:lncRNA from 1 species